rnacentral:rRNA from 1 species
UGCAGCAACGCCGCGUGAGGGACGACGGCCUUCGGGUUGUAAACCUCUUUUAGCAGGGAAGAAGCGAAAGUGACGGUACCUGCAGAAAAAGCGCCGGCUAACUACGUGCCAGCAGCCGCGGUAAUACGUAGGGCGCAAGCGUUAUCCGGAAUUAUUGGGCGUAAAGAGCUCGUAGGCGGUUUGUCGCGUCUGCUGUGAAAUCCGGAGGCUCAACCUCCGGCCUGCAGUGGGUACGGGCAGACUAGAGUGCGGUAGGGGAGAUUGGAAUUCCUGGUGUAGCGGUGGAAUGCGCAGAUAUCAGGAGGAACACCGAUGGCGAAGGCAGAUCUCUGGGCCGUAACUGACGCUGAGGAGCGAAAGGGUGGGGAGCAAACAGGCUUAGAUACCCUGGUAGUCCACCCCGUAAACGUUGGGAACUAGUUGUGGGGUCCAUUCCACGGAUUCCGUGACGCAGCUAACGCAUUAAGU